GAUGAACGCUGGCGGCGUGCCUAAUACAUGCAAGUCGAGCGAACGGACGAGAAGCUUGCUUCUCUGAUGUUAGCGGCGGACGGGUGAGUAACACGUGGAUAACCUACCUAUAAGACUGGGAUAACUUCGGGAAACCGGAGCUAAUACCGGAUAAUAUUUUGAACCGCAUGGUUCAAUAGUGAAAGACGGUCUUGCUGUCACUUAUAGAUGGAUCCGCGCUGCAUUAGCUAGUUGGUAAGGUAACGGCUUACCAAGGCAACGAUGCAUAGCCGACCUGAGAGGGUGAUCGGCCACACUGGAACUGAGACACGGUCCAGACUCCUACGGGAGGCAGCAGUAGGGAAUCUUCCGCAAUGGGCGAAAGCCUGACGGAGCAACGCCGCGUGAGUGAUGAAGGUCUUCGGAUCGUAAAACUCUGUUAUUAGGGAAGAACAAAUGUGUAAGUAACUAUGCACGUCUUGACGGUACCUAAUCAGAAAGCCACGGCUAACUACGUG
rnacentral:rRNA from 1 species